rnacentral:tRNA from 1 species
GCGCGACUGGUGAAAUGGUAGCCACGCGAGACUCAAAAUCUCGUGCCGCAAGGCGUCCCGGUUCGAGUCCGGGGUCGCGCACCA